rnacentral:piRNA from 1 species
CAAGGUAAGACAGGACCAACGC